rnacentral:rRNA from 2 species
GGCCGUCAUGCAAGUCGAGCGGUAGAGAGAAGCUUGCUUCUCUUGAGAGCGGCGGACGGGUGAGUAAUACCUAGGAAUCUGCCUGAUAGUGGGGGAUAACGUUCGGAAACGGACGCUAAUACCGCAUACGUCCUACGGGAGAAAGCAGGGGACCUUCGGGCCUUGCGCUAUCAGAUGAGCCUAGGUCGGAUUAGCUAGUUGGUGAGGUAAUGGCUCACCAAGGCUACGAUCCGUAACUGGUCUGAGAGGAUGAUCAGUCACACUGGAACUGAGACACGGUCCAGACUCCUACGGGAGGCAGCAGUGGGGAAUAUUGGACAAUGGGCGAAAGCCUGAUCCAGCCAUGCCGCGUGUGUGAAGAAGGUCUUCGGAUUGUAAAGCACUUUAAGUUGGGAGGAAGGGCAUUAACCUAAUACGUUAGUGUUUUGACGUUACCGACAGAAUAAGCACCGGCUAACUCUGUGCCAGCAGCCGCGGUAAUACAGAGGGUGCAAGCGUUAAUCGGAAUUACUGGGCGUAAAGCGCGCGUAGGUGGUUUGUUAAGUUGAA